AUGAACGCUAGCUACAGGCUUAACACAUGCAAGUCGAGGGGCAGCAUGGUCUUAGCUUGCUAAGGCCGAUGGCGACCGGCGCACGGGUGAGUAACACGUAUCCAACCUGCCGUCUACUCUUGGACAGCCUUCUGAAAGGAAGAUUAAUACAAGAUGGCAUCAUGAGUCCGCAUGUUCACAUGAUUAAAGGUAUUCCGGUAGACGAUGGGGAUGCGUUCCAUUAGAUAGUAGGCGGGGUAACGGCCCACCUAGUCUUCGAUGGAUAGGGGUUCUGAGAGGAAGGUCCCCCACAUUGGAACUGAGACACGGUCCAAACUCCUACGGGAGGCAGCAGUGAGGAAUAUUGGUCAAUGGGCGAGAGCCUGAACCAGCCAAGUAGCGUGAAGGAUGACUGCCCUAUGGGUUGUAAACUUCUUUUAUAAAGGAAUAAAGUCGGGUAUGCAUACCCGUUUGCAUGUACUUUAUGAAUAAGGAUCGGCUAACUCCGUGCCAGCAGCCGCGGUAAUACGGAGGAUCCGAGCGUUAUCCGGAUUUAUUGGGUUUAAAGGGAGCGUAGAUGGAUGUUUAAGUCAGUUGUGAAAGUUUGCGGCUCAACCGUAAAAUUGCAGUUGAUACUGGAUAUCUUGAGUGCAGUUGAGGUAGGCGGAAUUCGUGGUGUAGCGGUGAAAUGCUUAGAUAUCACGAAGAACUCCGAUUGCGAAGGCAGCCUGCUAAGCUGCAACUGACAUUGAGGCUCGAAAGUGUGGGUAUCAAACAGGAUUAGAUACCCUGGUAGUCCACACGGUAAACGAUGAAUACUCGCUGUUUGCGAUAUACAGCAAGCGGCCAAGCGAAAGCGUUAAGUAUUCCACCUGGGGAGUACGCCGGCAACGGUGAAACUCAAAGGAAUUGACGGGGGCCCGCACAAGCGGAGGAACAUGUGGUUUAAUUCGAUGAUACGCGAGGAACCUUACCCGGGCUUAAAUUGCAGAUGAAUUACGGUGAAAGCCGUAAGCCGCAAGGCAUCUGUGAAGGUGCUGCAUGGUUGUCGUCAGCUCGUGCCGUGAGGUGUCGGCUUAAGUGCCAUAACGAGCGCAACCCUUGUUGUCAGUUACUAACAGGUCAUGCUGAGGACUCUGACAAGACUGCCAUCGUAAGAUGUGAGGAAGGUGGGGAUGACGUCAAAUCAGCACGGCCCUUACGUCCGGGGCUACACACGUGUUACAAUGGGGGGUACAGAGGGCCGCUACCACGCGAGUGGAUGCCAAUCCCAAAAACCUCUCUCAGUUCGGACUGGAGUCUGCAACCCGACUCCACGAAGCUGGAUUCGCUAGUAAUCGCGCAUCAGCCACGGCGCGGUGAAUACGUUCCCGGGCCUUGUACACACCGCCCGUCAAGCCAUGGGAGCCGGGGGUACCUGAAGUGCGUAACCGCGAGGAGCGCCCUAGGGUAAAACUGGUGACUGGGGCU
rnacentral:rRNA from 1 species